GACUUUAUUAUGGUUACUUUGAAAGUAACUUUUAAGAUUUUCUUUAAAGUCG
rnacentral:tRNA from 1 species